rnacentral:lncRNA from 14 species
ACCCAAAGUUUGUAGGCCUAGGAAUCUUGUUUUUCCUGAACACUGACCUGUUUGGAACUCUAUGUGUCCUUUCUUCUAGUAAACCUUUUUUCUUGCUGUACAAUCACAUGGGCUGGAGCUUAUAUGUCAGAUUGCUGUGCUAACAAUGGUGAAGUUGCAAUUCUGAGUUUCUGUGUUUUGGCAGAUAACAGCACAGGCCUGGACUACAGUCAGCUGAAAACGUCACAGUUUUUUUUAGCCAUUUGAACCCAGGACAACCUCCCAUCUGCUUACACCAAAGAUGAACCUUUCCAGAUACAAUGGCAUUGAUGGACAUGUGUGGCACCAGUGUGACAGAGAUGUGAAAUCAUUCCCCUCAUAUGAAGAGGCAUUUCAGCAAUGUUGAAAAAGGAGAUCUCCAAGGGAGAAGAAGGCUGGCGUCUCUGCUGUUGAAAUGGUUUCAAUCUGGCCUGAAUACUUUGCCUGCAGUGCUGCAACCCACAAGGGGGUCUUAACCUCUGAAACCUGCUGACUCAAGAGUAAUUGGCCAGCAUGAUGCCACUGUGACCAUCAAGUGGAACAAAUAAAAUUACCCACCAUUUCA